rnacentral:rRNA from 1 species
UACAGAGGUCCCAAGCGUUGUUCGGAUUCACUGGGCGUAAAGGGUGCGUAGGUGGCGAGGUUAGUCGGAUGUGAAAGCUCGGAGCUCAACUCCGAAAUGGCAUUGGAAACUACCUUGCUCGAGGGUUGGAAGGGGGACUGGAAUGCUUGGUGUAGCAGUGAAAUGCGUAGAUAUCAAGCGGAACACCAGUGGCGAAGGCGAGUCCCUGGACAACUCCUGACACUGAGGCACGAAAGCUAGGGGAGCAAACAGG